rnacentral:miRNA from 1 species
UGACUAGAUACACACUCGUCU